GGCCAGCCUGGCCAUGGCAUAUUGUUUACCGCAGAAAGCGUUCAGUAAUGUUGCAGCAGCAUAUCGAACAAAUUACUUGUUUUUAUUUUGGACUGUACGGAUCGAUUAAUAAACAAGCGUCCUCUAGCAAAACAAACGACUGAGUGAUAAAAGCGGAUUCUGUUUUGAGACGGAUUUGGAGGACUAAUUUUGAGUAGCUAUUUUGCUCUGCAGUUUUCAUCUGCAUCGUUUUCGGUAUCUAGUAAAGUUUCUGGAUUUUUGUAAAACAUGGAGACCAAAGAAUUGCCGCUUUAUCGAUAUAACAUCGUGAUCGUUUCUUCCGGCAAAAAAAAUACUUUGCUGCAGUCGCGAUACUUGUAUUCUGAAUCUGGAAAAUCGGAUCUGCCAGAAACGCCUGUCAAAUCCAUCGUCCACGCUAAAACUUAUUUCGAAACACAGGGUACACCUGGUGCUGAGUGAAGCUGAAGCUGGCUUUAUAGAAGUUUUCUACAUGUUUUCGUCCAAGGCGUCAGACGUGUGGCACGGCCUACAGCCUCAACCGCUUGGAAUAUUAUAACACGGAUUGCACAUCUUAUUAUAGUUUUUCAUGCUUGCUAUCGAUUUGAUGUAAAAUUAUGAUUUAUGCAUAAGUCGAACUAUGAAUAUGAGCGGGCCUUAUGGCAGUCCAAGUAACUGCGACUGCAGGGCGCAGAUAGACUAUAUGUAGUUAGUUCAGUGCCUCCCUGACCUUUAUGUAUUCAUGUCCGAUUCAAGCCAAACUUCUACUAGUUUACUCGACUCAGAUGUUUUUUGGAAUUUCACAAAGGCUUUCUGUCUGUUAAAAUUUUGUAGCCUUUAUGGAUCGUCCGUUAAAAUCACUGUCACAUGUUUACAACUUGAUGGCCGUUUUACCAUUGUAUUUCUUUUAUCUUUCGAAAAAAUGUUAACGAGUUGUGACGGCAAAAAAAAUUACUAAACUUUUUGCCAGUUUUACUCAGCACCAGGUCAACCCUGUGCACCUUGGUAGAAGUAUGUUACAUGCAUUGCUUGUUUUAUGGAUGCAGGAGUGCACGUUCAUCGCAUUUCUUGCGUCAGUCUGCAUGUCCCCCCAUGGCUUCUGGUAUACGAGUGAUAUUUGUGGAUAUAUAACAGCAGUGUCAACCACUGCCAUUGCAUUCGUUGCAACUUUGGCACUUCUGAUUAUGCAACUGUUUCAUCUCGUGGAUGCAUUUCCUGCAGUUCCUUGGAAUACCAUCGUAAGGCUACUUCGACGCAGUGACGCCGUCGCGCGAUGCUUAAAUAUAAAAGUUUUCGUUGUACUGUUGUCAUUUGAUACUAGUAUUUAAUUUAAGUAAUUAUUGGUAUUUUAUUGAUUUUGAUUUUGACGAAGUUUUGCAAGAUUCCGACUCUAUGUACACAAAUUUAUUAACUAUACAGCUGCAAUUCUGCGUUGCGAUUAUUAGCUUUUCUCGCAAUGUUGAUCGUUGUAAUAAAAUUUGAUUGCUAAAUUAU